CAGCCGUAAACUAUGCUCGCUAGGUGUCAGGCAUGGCGCGACCGUGUCUGGUGCCGCAGGGAAGCCGUGAAGCGAGCCACCUGGGAAGUACGGCCGCAAGGCUGAAACUUAAAGGAAUAGGCGGGGGAGCACAACAACGGGUGGAGCCUGCGGUUUAAUUGGACUCAACGCCGGACAACUCACCGGGGACGACAGCAAUAUGUAGGCCAGGCUGAAGACCUUGCCUGAAUCGCUGAGAGGAGGUGCAUGGCGUAGACGUCU
rnacentral:rRNA from 1 species